CUUGUUGGUGGGGUAAUGGCCUACCAAGGCGACGACGGGUAGCCGGCCUGAGAGGGUAACCGGCCACACUGGGACUGAGACACGGCCCAGACUCCUACGGGAGGCAGCAGUGGGGAAUAUUGCACAAUGGGCGCAAGCCUGAUGCAGCGACGCCGCGUGAGGGAUGACGGCCUUCGGGUUGUAAACCUCUUUCAGUAGGGAAGAAGCCGUGAGGUGACGGUACCUGCAGAAGAAGCGCCGGCUAACUACGUGCCAGCAGCCGCGGUAAUACGUAGGGCGCAAGCGUUAUCCGGAAUUAUUGGGCGUAAAGAGCUCGUAGGCGGUUUGUCGCGUCUGCUGUGAAAGACCGGGGCUCAACUCCGGUUCUGCAGUGGGUACGGGCAGACUAGAGUGCAGUAGGGGAGACUGGAAUUCCUGGUGUAGCGGUGAAAUGCGCAGAUAUCAGGAGGAACACCGAUGGCGAAGGCAGGUCUCUGGGCUGUAACUGACGCUGAGGAGCGAAAGCAUGGGGAGCGAACAGGAUUAGAUACCCUGGUAGUCCAUGCCGUAAACGUUGGGCACUAGGUGUGGGGGACAUUCCACGUUUUCCGCGCCGUAGCUAACGCAUUAAGUGCCCCGCCUGG
rnacentral:rRNA from 1 species